GGCUCAGGAUGAACGCUGGCGGCGUGCCUAAUACAUGCAAGUCGAACGCUUUGUGGUUCAACUGAUUUGAAGAGCUUGCUCAGAUAUGACGAUGGACAUUGCAAAGAGUGGCGAACGGGUGAGUAACACGUGGGAAACCUACCUCUUAGCAGGGGAUAACAUUUGGAAACAGAUGCUAAUACCGUAUAACAAUGACAACCGCAUGGUUGUUAUUUAAAAGAUGGUUCUGCUAUCACUAAGAGAUGGUCCCGCGGUGCAUUAGCUAGUUGGUAAGGUAAUGGCUUACCAAGGCGAUGAUGCAUAGCCGAGUUGAGAGACUGAUCGGCCACAAUGGGACUGAGACACGGCCCAUACUCCUACGGGAGGCAGCAGUAGGGAAUCUUCCACAAUGGGCGAAAGCCUGAUGGAGCAACGCCACGUGUGUGAUGAAGGGUUUCGGCUCGUAAAACACUGUUGUAAGAGAAGAAUGACAUUGAGAGUAACUAUUCAAUGUGUGACGGUAUCUUACCAGAAAGGAACGGCUAAAUACGUGCCAGCAGCCGCGGUAAUACGUAUGUUCCAAGCGUUAUCCGGAUUUAUUGGGCGUAAAGCGAGCGCAGACGGUUAUUUAAGUCUGAAGUGAAAGCCCUCAGCUCAACUGAGGAAUUGCUUUGGAAACUGGAUGACUUGAGUGCAGUAGAGGAAAGUGGAACUCCAUGUGUAGCGGUGAAAUGCGUAGAUAUAUGGAAGAACACCAGUGGCGAAGGCGGCUUUCUGGACUGUAACUGACGUUGAGGCUCGAAAGUGUGGGUAGCAAACAGGAUUAGAUACCCUGGUAGUCCACACCGUAAACGAUGAGUGCUAGGUGUUUGAGGGUUUCCGCCCUUAAGUGCCGCAGCUAACGCAUUAAGCACUCCGCCUGGGGAGUACGACCGCAAGGUUGAAACUCAAAGGAAUUGACGGGGACCCGCACAAGCGGUGGAGCAUGUGGUUUAAUUCGAAGCAACGCGAAGAACCUUACCAGGUCUUGACAUCCCUUGACAACUCCAGAGAUGGAGUGUUCCCUUCGGGGACAAGGUGACAGGUGGUGCAUGGUUGUCGUCAGCUCGUGUCGUGAGAUGUUGGGUUAAGUCCCGCAACGAGCGCAACCCUUAUUACUAGUUGCCAGCAUUCAGUUGGGCACUCUAGUGAGACUGCCGGUGACAAACCGGAGGAAGGUGGGGAUGACGUCAAAUCAUCAUGCCCCUUAUGACCUGGGCUACACACGUGCUACAAUGGCGUAUACAACGAGUUGCCAACCCGCGAGGGUGAGCUAAUCUCUUAAAGUACGUCUCAGUUCGGAUUGUAGGCUGCAACUCGCCUACAUGAAGUCGGAAUCGCUAGUAAUCGCGGAUCAGCACGCCGCGGUGAAUACGUUCCCGGGUCUUGUACACACCGCCCGUCACACCAUGAGAGUUUGUAACACCCAAAGCCGGUGGGGUAACCUUCGGGAGCCAGCCGUCUAAGGUGGGACAGAUGAUUAGGGUG
rnacentral:rRNA from 1 species